ACAAGCGGUGGAGCUAUGUGGUUAAUUCGAUGAUACGCGAGGAACCUUACCUGGGCUCAAAUGUAUGUUGACGUAUUCUGAAAGGGAUACUUCUUCGGACAAUAUACAAGGUGCUGCAUGGUUGUCGUCAGCUCGUGCCGUGAGGUGUCGGGUUAAGCCCCAUAACGAGCGCAACCCCUAUCAUUAGUUGCCAUCAGGUCAAGCUGGGGACUCUAAUGAAACUGCCUACGCAAGUAGUGAGGAAGGUGGGGAUGACGUCAAAUCAGCACGGCCCUUACGUCCAGGGCUACACACGUGCUACAAUGGCCGGUACAACGGGAAGCGAGUUCGCGAGGACGAGCGGAUCCCUCAAAGCCGGUCGCAGUUCGGAUUGAAGUCUGUAACUCGACUUCAUGAAGCUGGAAUCGCUAGUAAUCGUGGAUCAGCCAAGCCGCGGUGAAUACGUUCCCGGGCCUU
rnacentral:rRNA from 1 species